ACAGGAUUAGAUACCCUGGUAGUCCACGCCGUAAACGAUGUCGACUUGGAGGCUGUUCCCUUGAGGAGUGGCUUCCGGAGCUAACGCGUUAAGUCGACCGCCUGGGGAGUACGGCCGCAAGGUUAAAACUCAAAUGAAUUGACGGGGGCCCGCACAAGCGGUGGAGCAUGUGGUUUAAUUCGAUGCAACGCGAAGAACCUUACCUGGCCUUGACAUCCAGAGAACUUUCCAGAGAUGGAUUGGUGCCUUCGGGAACUCUGAGACAGGUGCUGCAUGGCUGUCGUCAGCUCGUGUUGUGAAAUGUUGGGUUAAGUCCCGCAACGAGCGCAACCCUUAUCCUUUGUUGCCAGCGAUUCGGUCGGGAACUCAAAGGAGACUGCCGGUGAUAAACCGGAGGAAGGUGGGGAUGACGUCAAGUCAUCAUGGCCCUUACGGCCAGGGCUACACACGUGCUACAAUGGCGCAUACAAAGAGAAGCGACCUCGCGAGAGCAAGCGGACCUCAUAAAGUGCGUCGUAGUCCGGAUCGGAGUCUGCAACUCGACUCCGUGAAGUCGGAAUCGCUAGUAAUCGUGGAUCAGAACGCCACGGUGAAUACGUUCCCGGGCCUUGUACACACCGCCCGUCACACCAUGGGAGUGGGUUGCAAAAGAAGUAGGUAGCUUAACCUUCGGGAGGGCGCUUACCACUUUGUGAUUCAUGACUGGGGUGAAGUCGUAACAAGGUA
rnacentral:rRNA from 1 species